UCCAGCCAUAGCCAAAGUGUUCUGAGUCCACUGUUACCUCCUAGAUUUAGUGUAAGAUGUGGAGAAAAGGGGAAAAGAAGCUGAAAUGAUUGGAACUACCUGGGGCUACAUUUGCUGAAGGCUUGCCCUGAGAAGCUGAAGAGAGCCAGAAGGUGUCGGGGGGCCUAAUGCACAGAAAGAAAUCACAAGUAGGCAGAGAGGCAGGCAGAGAGAAGAGAGGAGGAAGCCUGCUUCCUGACCAGCCCAAUACGGGACUCGAUGCCAGGACCCUGGGAUCAUGACAUGAGCCGAAGGCAGAGGCUUAACCCACUGAGCCACCCAGGCACCCAGAUAAGUACUUCUUUAACAAUUAGAGUAUCUGGUCAUUCUGAGACCUAUGUUGCCUCAGGGCAGCAAAUAACCAGGGCCAGGUGGUGGCAGCUCUCUCUAUAAGACAAACAUGUGCCUUGCAGAUCUUCACAGUUCCUGCCCAGCUCCUUUCACCCAUCUAUUCUACCUACCUGGAUCCUGCAGCAUGAAACUACACAUUAGAAAUACCUGAGUUACUAAUACAAUCCCAACAUUUAGCUGCACCCCAUACCAAUUAUAUAAGGCUUUCUGGGGUGAGACCCUGGCAUCUAUAUACAUACAUGUUAAUAUAUGCACAUCUUACAUAAUUGUACAUCUUUUUUUUUUAAAGAUUUUAUUUAUUUAUUUGACAGAGAGAAAUCACAAGUAGAUGUAGAGGCAGGCAGAGAGAGAGAGAGGGAAGCAGGUUCCCUGCUGAGCAGAGAGUCCCAUGCAGGACUCGAUCCCAGGACGCUGAGAUCAUGAAGUAUGAAGUAUGAAGGCAGCGGCUUAACCCACUGAGCCACCCAGGCGCCCCACAUAAUUGUACAUCUUAAAUACACACUUCAGUGACAUUGAAUACAUUCACCCUGUUGUGCAACUUCAUCACCCUUCAUAGGUAGAAGUUUUUCAUCAUUACAAACAUAAGCUCUUGUAUCCAUUAAAUAAUAACUUCCCAUUCCUCCUCCCCAUCCCCACCUACCCCCCAGCAGCCUUUGGGAACCACCACUGCACUUUCAGUCUCUAUAAAUUUGUCUAUUCUAGGUAUUGCAUAUAAGUGAAAUCAUAAAAUACUUGUCCUUUUGUGUCUGGCUUUUUUCACAUCACUGAAUAUUUUCCAAGUUCAUGUUUCACAUCACUGAAUGUUUUCCAAGUUCAUCCAUAUUGCAGCAUGUACCAGAAUUUCCUUUCUUUUCAAGAUUGAAUAAUAUUCCAUUGUAAGUAUGUAUUUACCAUAUUAUUAUAUUUUGUUUACCCAUUCAUCCAUUGAUGGAUAUAUGGAUUGUUUCCACAUUUGGGUUAUUGCGGAUGAUGCCGUUAUGGACGUUGCUGUAUGAGUAUCUCUUUGAGUCUCUGCUUUCAAUUCUUUUGGGUAUGUACCAAGGAGUAAAACUGCUGGAUCAUAUGAUAAUUCUAUGUUUAAUGGUGUCUGCAUUUUUAGUCCGCUUGGUGAUUCCAGUGUAUAGACAAGGCUGUAAACUUCGGCGUUAGAGCUUGUAACCUCUGAAGAAUCUUUACCUUCUCAUUCCAGUAUGAGGAGGGAAGCAGCGGGCAAGAAGCAAGUGGGCAGCUUAGCUGAUUUAGCCAAAAGACAACAAAAUGAAAAAUGAUUUUGAGAGUAUACAGAAACUUUCUACCUUCUUACUCAAGCCUCUGAAAAAAUUCUCUGCAGCCCUUUAUUGGACAUUUCUAUCAGCCUUUCAAGAGAGCUAUCUUCAAAGAAUAUUUUAAAUUUCAUUAUAUAUACAGCUUUAAAAUAUUAAUUCAAUCUGUAGAAUUUUAUAAAAAUGUACUGGAUUGGAAAAUGACACAAAAAUAAUAUCCACUGGUUUUCUUUUAUAAUAUCAUCCAACUAAAGUGACACAUUUUGAAGCAACCUAGUUAUUAAAAUGCAGCUUUAUGCUGGUAUGAAUGUCACUUAUUUUUAAAAGGAAAGUAAUUUUACAUGAUUUUCUCUCUUAUUUUUUGUCCUGAUGAUACCGGGAGAUCUGUGAUUCAGGGACUCCAUCAAAUGGUCUUGUCCCUUCUACCAUGCUACUUUAAAUGAAGACUGAAAGCUUUUAGAAUCCUUCUUCCCAGGGGAACUUAUGAAAUGUCAAAUGGUCACAUCAGCCACUUGGACUAGCCUGGGAAUGAAGACUUAAUUUGGUCAUGGGAAUAGUAGAUAAAUAUUUCCUUGAAGUUCUUUCACCAUCCUGGUCUUUCUCCUCUGAAAACAUUCCAUCAUGUUGUGUCAUUGUCCAAAAUGGAACACUCACUGAACUGAACUCAAUUUAUCAGGGAUAUCAUUUAGUGCUCUUAGUGUUCCAAGUGGUAGAAAACCAAAUUUAUGUGAUUUAACACUGAAGAGAGGUUGUGAGUUCAUAUUAUCUAAAAGAAAUUGGAUGGGCUUCAGAUGAAGCUUGAUCCAGAAGUUCAGACAGUGUCACCAAGUUUUCAACUGUUCUUUUCUCUUCUCUCCAUACUAUAAUCCAGUGUUGGCUUCAGCAGGUCUGGCAGGUCUGGACUUUCCAGUUAUGUUAUCAAAAGACCAGUUCUGUAUCUCUCAUCUUCAUAGCACAUGUUCCAGAGGGAGCCACGAGGCUCUAGUAAAUCUAACAAGAGUCCGUUCCUAAAGCUAGUAGAGGCAUCAAUCCGACCCAAAUCUCAUGGCUGAGAAUGGGAAGGAGGAAAUUCAGCAUUCUGUUUCUAGGGAAAGGGAGGAAUGCAUUCUGAGCAGUAAAAAACAUGGGUCGACUAUUCCAGGUGUGUUCUGACCAAUGCACAGUAAGUAUGACUCUUAACUCCCCUAAACAGUGUUAUCUAAUGGAACUUUCUGCGAUCCUGGAAAUGUUCUAUAUUCAUGCUAAUACAGUAGCCACCUAACCACACGUGACUAUUGAAAUGUGGCUAAUAUGACUGAGAACUGGGUUUUUUAUAUUGUUUAAAUUAAACUUAAUUUAACCUAAAUAGGUUAACAUGGCUAGGGGCUGCCAUAUUGUACAGCACAGUUAUAGAGACUUUUGUUUCCAUUAAAGCAACUGAAGAUCACAUUUGUUUUUUGGCAGGCACAUAAUAUUAUUUAUAGUACAUAAUGGAGCUUAUUAUCAACAAAAUUCCAUAGCUUUUUUUUCUAUUUAUGAGUCUACUGAGUCAUGUCUUUGUCAUUCUGUACAUUUGCAAUUAAUAAUUUAGACUUAAAUGAAAGAUUUCACAUUUAUGCCAGAUUGGAUUAUGGGGCAUCCCCAACCUUAAAGAAAUGUUUUAUCCUGAUAUUUUUUUCCACAAUAUUACUUGGUCACCAACCUUAUGUUGGUCUCUGUCAUGAAGGGAAUCUAACCUAUAGCAACACUUUUUUUUCUUUAAAUCUUGAGGAUUAUAAAUGGCUUUCAAGAGUCUGUGACACUUCUGAAAGUACAUGUAGAUUUUUGUGUGCUUUUUUUUUUUUUUUUUUUUUAAGGAAAGAUCCCAGUGCCUUCAUUAAAUUUUCAAAGGUUAAAGUCAAUAAUCAAGAAUUUGUGUCUUUGCACAAAUUAUUAAACCAAGGCAGGAAUCUGUGGCCUGUUGUUAAAAAUGGCCCUCCCGAUAAAUACCAGUGUUUUCCCCAGGCUCUGUGUCUAGUUCCCUAGACCAGAAAAAUAGUGAGUUUCUUUCCUUUUUUUGUUUUUUUUUAGCUUUAGUUGCCCUGCCCUGCGCCAAAAGUGCUGCCCAUUAUAAGGCAAAACCACUAAAGUCAGAAAUUUAAAGUUUUGACUUCAAAAUGGACUUCCAAAAUCUCCCAAUUCUUGUUCACUAAGUAUUGCAUCGAGCAGGAAUAUCAAUGAAGCAAGAUACAAAGUGAAACUAUGUCCACUAGUGCCAUUCUUGGAGCACCUGAUGGUCCCAGGGUAGGCUUUCCCUUCAGAGCUCCUGCAGGGUUUGAAGAGGAAGACCGCAGGGCAAAGUGCCCUUCUCAUGACAGGAUAUUGCUGUGCUCAUCACAACUUUGGGCUCUGCUAUGAUAGAAGAGCUACACUAUAAUGGUUCUGAAGUCAGAUGGCCUGACCUCAUACCCUGGCCCAACUACCUAUACACACAUGACCUCAGGCAAGUCCAUUUUUCUCUCCAAAUCUUAGAUGCUUUAUUC